AGUGAACGCUGGCGGUAGGCCUAACACAUGCAAGUCGAACGGCAGCACAGUAAGAGCUUGCUCUUACGGGUGGCGAGUGGCGGACGGGUGAGGAAUACAUCGGAAUCUACUUUUUCGGGGGGGAUAACGUAGGGAAACUUACGCUAAUACCGCAUACGACCUACGGGUGAAAGCAGGGGAUCUUCGGACCUUGCGCGAUUGAAUGAGCCGAUGUCGGAUUAGCUAGUUGGCGGGGUAAAGGCCCACCAAGGCGACGAUCCGUAGCUGGUCUGAGAGGAGGAUCAGCCACACUGGAACUGAGGCACGGUCCAGACUCCUACGGGAGGCAGCAGUGGGGAAUAUUGGACAAUGGGGGCAAGCCUGAUCCAGCCAUACCGCGUGGGUGAAGAAGGCCUUCGGGUUGUAAAGCCCUUUUGUUGGGAGAGAAAAGCAGCAGGUUAAUACCACGCUGUUCUGACGGUACCCAAAGAAUAAGCACCGGCUAACUUCGUG
rnacentral:rRNA from 1 species